CCUACGGGAGGCAGCAGUCGAGAAUCAUUCACAAUGGGGGAAACCCUGAUGGUGCGACGCCGCGUGGGGGAAUGAAGGUCUUCGGAUUGUAAACCCCUGUCAUGUGGGAGCAAAUUAAAAAGAUAGUACCACAAGAGGAAGAGACGGCUAACUCUGUGCCAGCAGCCGCGGUAAUACAGAGGUCUCAAGCGUUGUUCGGAAUCACUGGGCGUAAAGCGUGCGUAGGCUGUUUCGUAAGUCGUGUGUGAAAGGCGCGGGCUCAACCCGCGGACGGCACAUGAUACUGCGAGAUUAGAGUAAGGGAGGGGGAACCGGAAUUCUCGGUGUAGCAGUGAAAUGCGUAGAUAUCGAGAGGAACACUCGUGGCGAAGGCGGGUUCCUGGACAUUAACUGACGCUGAGGCACGAAGGCCAGGGGAGCGAAAGGGAUUAGAUACCCGAGUAGUC
rnacentral:rRNA from 1 species